rnacentral:misc_RNA from 1 species
GUUGAAGAACGUAGUGAAAUGCGAUAAGUAAUGUGAAUUGCAGAAUUCAGUGAAUCAUCGAAUCUUUGAACGCACAUUGCGCCCCCUGGUAUUCCGGGGGGCAUGCCUGUUCGAGCGUCAUUUCAACCCUCAAGCUCUGCUUGGUAUUGGGCGUCGCCGGGGAGUCUCCCCGGCGUGCCUCAAAGCCAUCGGCGGUGGUGCCUUUCUCUAAGCGUGGUAGAAUUUUUAUUCGCUUCUGAGUUGGGCUUCGCCUGCCGGACAAACCGGGCCCUCGCGGCCCACCUUCUCAGGUUGACCUCGGAUCAGGUAGGGAUACCCGCUGAACUUAAGCAUAUCAAUAAGCGGAGGA